GUGUCAGCAGCCGCGGUAAUACGUAGGUGGCAAGCGUUGUCCGGAUUUAUUGGGCGUAAAGCGAGCGCAGGCGGUCAAUUAAGUCUGAUGUGAAAGCCCCCGGCUCAACCGGGGAGGGUCAUUGGAAACUGGUUGACUUGAGUGCAGAAGAGGAGAGUGGAAUUCCAUGUGUAGCGGUGAAAUGCGUAGAUAUAUGGAGGAACACCAGUGGCGAAGGCGACUCUCUGGUCUGUAACUGACGCUGAGGCUCGAAAGCGUGGGUAGCGAACAGGAUUAGAAACCCUAGUAGUCC
rnacentral:rRNA from 1 species